AAAUAUUAGAAUUCUGUGUAGUUAUUUUAGUUUAGUUUAGUUGUGUUGUAAUUUAGCUUUAAACAAUGCGCUUUAUUUUUUUAUUGAUAUUUAACAUUAGCCUAAUAUAACACAUGGCAUAGCCAUGUUCUUUUUUAACAUUUUUUUUAGCUCCAGUAGGCUACAGUUUUAAACUAGUAUUGUUCUUGUUUUGUUUUUUAAACUCCAUUAUAGUAUUAAAUUAGUGCUGCUGUCUGUUAUUAAGGCGGGCAUACACUGCACCCAUCAUGAGAUGAGCCAGUCAGUGGCUCAAAUAUAAUUGCUAUAGAUUUGGAAGGGAUUCUGUAUCAUUAACACUUUCAUGUCUUUUUUUUUAGGCUCUGAAUGUGGAGGUGCAAACAGUUAAACUUAAAACUCAUUCGAAGUCAAAGUCAUGUUGAUGUUUUACAUUUAAGGACUACAGAGAGCCAGGUAAAGUAUUAUUCAUCAUCUGUAUUUAAUUUAAAUAUGUGGAAUUAAUGUCUAAAUACUGUAUUUGGGUAUAAAACAAAUGAGCACAUAUUUAAUUGACAAAGGUUUGGAGGCAAUGUGGUAAGAAUCCAUGCAUGUGGUUGUUCUACUCUAUAUUACAAUGCACAUUACACAUACAUCCAUAUAAAUUGGUUACAGAUACAUUGAACCACCAACUAAAAACAUUUAGCCAAAAGCAAACUCAUGUUCCCUCUACACCAGGGGUGUCCCACUCAAGUUUCAGAGAGGGCCAAAAUUAGAAAUGGUACUGAGUGCCAAACAGUCUCAUAGUGCUGUCUUAAUAUUAUUAUUAUGGACACGCCAGCUCCACUUUUGAGGCAACUGGAUAUAAUUGUACCACGGCCAGAUGUACGCCCACAGUAGUUUGUGUGAUCAUUUUAAAUAUAUUGUUUUAACUUAAGAGACUCGUAGUGAAUUUGUGUUUUAAUACAGGUAAAUGCAGAAUUCACCCUCAUCACCACAGUCCCCCUGUUCUCAACCUUUAUGUCCCGACUGGAUCAUUACUAUAGCCAGCUAUUGAGGGUAUUCAAAAAGAAGGGGGGAACAGCAAGACGUGAUAUCGACGUAAUCAUUGCAGAAAUGGACAUGAAUCCCAGUGUUGAAGUACGACAGACAUGCAUCCUAAAGGCGUUGUGCGUCUACUUAAAUGAAAAGCCUGACAGCCUUAUUAAGGAGUACUGGGUAAGUCGCAUUCUUUGUCAAUCAUAAACAAAUUGAUACAGAAAAUAUGUAUUUUUUUUAUAUUUUAAUUUCACAAACCUGUGAAUUGAAAUGUGUUGUAGGCUCAGAACAUGCAUGUUAUGCUAUAUUGAUUUUUGCCAAUGUUGGCAAUAUAUCAAUUUUUCAAAAAAAAUUUAUAUGAUGAUUGAUCAACCAAAAACAUAAUGGACAACAAUUUCUACAUUAAUGUAUAACAUUUUGUAAAGUUAAGCCAAAGAAAUAAAAAUCUGUCUUAUUUAAACACAGGCUAAAUAAUAAGCAAAUAUACUUCUUGGGAAUGAGUAUUGUGUUCUCUAAUUGUAAACUUAACAUCUUUUGGGUUUGUUUCUAGUGUCGGAUAUUGGUAUUUGUGCAAUGACGGAAAUGGAGAGACUGGCUUUGGGUGUCUACAUUGUUCGACAUGAUGGAGCAGAUGCUUCAGAUCCACCUGAGGAUGUUGGCGUCGUCAUUGAAGGCUGCACAGUGCUGCGAGAUCUGAGAGAGGUUGCAAAUGGAUGUGCAGUCCUGUUUGGCUUGAUCUAGUGUUUAAACUUGAGCUAUCCCAAGGAGCUGCGAUACACUUUCGAAUUUCUUCAGAAAGUGUUUAUGGAAUUGGAUGGGAACAAGCUCUCCACUAAAGUGCAGGUCCUCAAAAACAAACUGCAUGAGUAAAAUCACCUGCACCAGACAAGACUGGACCUGGCUUUGGACACUUUAAUUGUGUUGACUGUUACUUUAUUUUUGGACUGCUGCUAGACAAAAUAAAGCUGUGAUCAAUGAUGGUUUGUAAUAAGCAGACAGGACUGCAGUUGGUCAUUGACUUGCUUGGGGAGGCUCAGUUCUUUGGAUUUUGGACUGCUG
rnacentral:lncRNA from 1 species